rnacentral:piRNA from 4 species
UCAGUCUCAUAAUCUGAAGGUCGU